rnacentral:rRNA from 1 species
UGCGUAGAUAUAUGGAAGAACACCAGUGGCGAAGGCGGCUGUCUGGUCUGCAACUGACGCUGAGGCUCGAAAGCAUGGGUAGCGAACAGGAUUAGAUACCCUGGUAGUCCACGCCGUAAACGAUGAUUACUAAGUGUUGGAGGGUUUCCGCCCUUCAGUGCUGCAGUUAACGCAUUAAGUAAUCCGCCUGGGGAGUACGACCGCAAGGUUGAAACUCAAAAGAAUUGACGGGGGCCCGCACAAGCGGUGGAGCAUGUGGUUUAAUUCGAAGCUACGCGAAGAACCUUACCAGGUCUUGACAUCUUUUGACCGUCUAAGAGAUUAGAGGUUCCCUUCGGGGACAGAAUGACAGGUGGUGCAUGGUUGUCGUCAGCUCGUGUCGUGAGAUGUUGGGUUAAGUCCCGCAACGAGCGCAACCCUUAUUUCUAGUUGCCAGCAUUAAGUUGGGCACUUUAGUGAGACUGCCGGUGACAAACCGGAGGAAGGUGGGGAAGACGUCAAAUCAUCAUGCCCCUUAUGACCUGGGCUACACACGUGCUACAAUGGAUGGUACAACGAGUCGCGAGACCGCGAGGUUAAGCUAAUCUCUUAAAACCAUUUUCAGUUCGGAAUGUAGGCUGCAACUUGCCUACACGAAGUCGGAAUCGCUAGUAAUCGUGGAUCAGCAUGCCGCGGUGAAUACGUUCCCGGGCCUUGUACACACCGCCCGUC